rnacentral:lncRNA from 1 species
UGUAUUGAUAUGUGCGGUGGGAGUGGAGUGCAGGAGGACUGGAGUUCACAACUUCUCAGCAAAGUGUUACACCUCUCAGAACGGACAUCUAGACCACACAGUUACCCUUUUGCUAUGGAUGGGUGUGUCUUCCUCAGUUCUCACUUUGUAGAGCUGCACUUUUUAAAGUUCAGCUCAGACAGCUGCUGGCACAAAGAGGGCCAUACUGAAGACUCCAUGGAGAGAGUAAGAAUGUUCUCCCCUGUGUCUGGAUGCAUAGAUCCUUGAAUUGGUGCUAUGCUCUCCCCACUGUAUCCUAUUAGCUGGUACGUGAUUCUCAUUUGUCUCAUUCCUAGUUAUGCCAGCUUUGAUCAUUUGAUUAAGGUAAUGACAACCAGCUGUCUGUUUUCUCCACUGUAAAUUCACUCUUUCCCUCUUGUAUCUCGUCAGUAUUUUGUGAAAAAAUACUUUUUCAUUAUCAAUUUUUAUUUAUUUUAAAAAUUUUUUUUAUUUAAAUUCAGUUUGCCAACAUAUAGUAUAAUACCAUCAAGUCCCCUCAGUCCAUCAAGUGCCCUCCUUAGUGUGAAAAGAUAUUUUGAGGCUAUGAAAACAACCUGAUUUUCUUCAAAUUUUUACUUCCAUUAAAAUGUGACCUCUAUUAAAGUUUCUUACCCGAGUAAUUGCUAUUCUGUUUGCCCAAAAAAUGAUAUUUUAAUGUUAACUUUGUUCUACAUGAAUUACUUGCUGUGUUAUUGUUAGAAAUGUUGUAAGAAGUUUUCUCUUCAUUUUUUUGCCUGUUUAUUUAUUUAUAUCAGUCUGGACUCAGAUAUUCCUAUUUAAAUCAGUAGAUUAUAACUUGUUACUGUCAUUAUUUAUUUUGAUGUUUGGAUUGUCCCAGAUUUGGCCAAUAGGAGACCCCUUAUACUAGCUACUGUGUCCUUUUUACAUCGCUUUAUCAUUCUUUGAGUUCUUCCUUACUUCCUAGCACCAUAGCAGUGUAAUUUCCCUGACCCAGCCCUAGAAAUCAGUCACUUCUCCAAGGAUCCUGAGUCCUUCUUCAUGGUAAGUGAUAUUUAUAAGCUUAGUUAUAGGGGGCACUUGGGUGGCUCAGUGGUUGAGCGCCUCCCUUUGGCUUGGGUGGUGAUCCCAGGAUCCUGGGAUCAAGUCCUGCUUCUGGCUCCUUGCGAGGAGCCUGCUUUUCUUUCUGCCUAGGUCUUUGCCUCUCUCCCUAUGUCUCUCAUGAAUAAAUAAAUAAAAUCAUAAAAUCUAAAAAAAAUGAAUAAAUAACCCAAGCUCAGGAUGCGGAUACCUAUUACCAUUGAGGUAUUGCUGCUUCCAGGACUUCUCA